AGAGCGAACGCUGGCGGCAGGCCUAACACAUGCAAGUCGAACGGACCCUUCGGGGUUAGUGGCGGACGGGUGAGUAACACGUGGGAACGUGCCUUUAGGUUCGGAAUAGCUCCUGGAAACGGGUGGUAAUGCCGAAUGUGCCCUUCGGGGGAAAGAUUUAUCGCCUUUAGAGCCGGCCCGCGUCUGAUUAGCUUGUUGGUGAGGUAAUGGCUCACCAAGGCUACGAUCAAGUAGCUGGUCUGAGAGGAUGACCAGCCACAUU
rnacentral:rRNA from 1 species